rnacentral:antisense_RNA from 1 species
ACAGGUGGCAGCUCGCGUCCCCUGAGAGCGGGCGAAGGCCAGGGUCCCACACUCGCAGCGCUGCGACGGCACUCGGGACCUCCCUCGUCCGCUGCUUGAGCUCCAGAGGUGGGUGCUUCCCUGUCCUGAACUUCAGAGUGCGGAGUCAUAAAUGGGUUCCGGCUGGCUUACUGCAGUAGCCUCGCUCCUCCCCAGCCCCGGUAACUCCGAGCUACCCGUCCAGGCCCUCGGGCGUCGCGGGGGCAGGGACUGGGCGCGGAACGAGGCAGGGAGGGACCUGGAAAAACCACCCAGAUUGCAUUGCAGUGGGCGAGGCCACCUGGAGGAGCCGGUUCCCCCUAACCACCUCCCCUUGGGGCUCUCGGUGCGCGGUUCCCAGGUGCUCAGCUCUGCUGGGCCCAGGAGGUGCCGCCUCACAGGGACGCGGAACCCCGUGCGUGGCCCCCGCCGGGUGGACCAGAUAGCGCGAGGCGGUCCGGAGGCUCGUCGCCAAGCAGGUGACUCUUGCUGAAAAAGUGGUUGGAACACUUGAGGAAACCCGGCCCCGCCUGUUCUUUCUAGGUCUUUGGAGUUUGGAUUAAUCAUUUGUGUAGCCCGUUUGGAUAAACCGAAGACUUUAUUAAAUCAGCGCGCUUACCAGGAAUUCCGCAGUAGUAUCCACAUUAGAAUCUUGAGUCUUGGAGUUGACCAUAUUCACACAGACUUGCCUUCUUCCUGUUUAGUUUAUGCCUUGUGUUCCGUUAUUGGAACGCUAAGCUUGUGGGAGUUGUUUACAUCCUACUGCUCAAGGUCGUCGCUAAGGUGUGAUUUUUCACAAAAAGAAUUUGCAACCUCCGGCAUGAAUGGCUUAAGGAAGUCUAAUCCUGGUUUCUGAUUUUUUUUUUUUUUAAUUUAAAAGUUAAUCUUUCUGGGCCGGGCGCGGUGGCUCACGCCUGUAAUCCCAGCACUUUGGGAGGCCGAGGCGGAUCACGAGGUCAGGAGUUCGAGACCAGCCUGACCAACAUGGUGAAACCCCGUCUCUACUAAAAACACAAAAAUUAGCCGGGCGGGGUGGCGCACACCUGUAAUCCCAGCUGCUCGGGAGGCUGAGGCAGGAGAAUCGCUUGAACCUGGGAGGCGGGGGGUUGCAGUGAGCCGAGAUCUGGCCAUUGCACUCCAGCGUGGGUAACAGAGUGAGACUCCAUCUCAAAAAAAAAAGGUUAAUCUUUCCAACUAGAUUUUCAAGGAUGAGGAUUUUGUUGUUGUUGUUGUUGUUCUCAAAUGUAUUCCCAGGGCUUGGAACAGAGCCUGACAUAUACUAGGCACUCAACAAAUAUUUCUUGAAUGAUUGUAAUGAGUAACACCCAUUUUUGCAGAUCUUUGUCUUCUGAGCCUAGGGCAUAGGUCAUCACUGCAGGGGUGAGAUUGUCAAAAUGGGAGUCUACAGGUAAUUUAAGACUUAAAUGUUUAAAGAGUAGGUGCUCAUUCUUCAACAAACUUACUUUUGUUAAAUUAAAAUGGUAAAAUGUGGUGGAGGGGUUGGAAUAUAUGUAAUUCAAGACAGUUCUGAAUACAAAAAUGUUUUACUGUCUAUCACCACCAUCUAUAAAUCUAAUUCACUAAGGAUAAUCUGUGUAAGGUGGCUGGAAAGAACCUUGAGGAGAGAGGCUUAUUUAAGUAUUGGCUCAGGACCACACCUAAAACUCUCAAAACGUUGAGAUUCUGUUGUUUUGUUUUUAAGCGCCAGAGACCCAAGUUGAGGAACAGCAUAUAAAAUAACUGGCCUGUACUCUUACAUACAUGAAAGCCAUCAAAGACAAAGACUGAAGAAGAACUUUGGCAGAUUAAAGGACUUUAAGAGACAUGAUCCUGAACCAGAAAAAGUAAAAAAUAAAAAAAUAAAAAGAUCUGUAGAUUAAAUAAUAGUAUUAUAUCCAUGUUAAUUUCCCAUUUGUUGUAAUAUUACUAUGGUUGGGCAAGAGAGUGUCUUUGUUGGUGGAAGUAUCUACUGAAGUAUUUAGGGGUAAAGAGGAAUCAUGUCUGUAACUUAUGCUCAAAAGGUUCAGACAAAAUAUAUGUAAAGGGAAUGAUAAAGCAAAUGCAAUAAAAUGUUAACAUUGGGGAAUCUGUAUAAGGGAAUUCUUAACUUUUCUGUAAGUCUAAAAUUAUUUCAAAUUAAAAAUAAUUUUUUUAAGCCUC